rnacentral:ncRNA from 12 species
GCGAGGUAGCUCAGGCGGUUAGAGCGUCGGAUUCAUAACCCGGAGGUCGAGGGUUCAAUUCCCUCCCUCGC